AAUUAAUAAGCUUUUACAAGCAUUUGUUUUGAAAACUUAAGAAAGAAUAAAUAUUCUAUUAAUUU
rnacentral:tRNA from 1 species